rnacentral:rRNA from 1 species
AUUGAACGCUGGCGGCAUGCCUUACACAUGCAAGUCGAACGGUAACAGGUUAAGCUGACGAGUGGCGAACGGGUGAGUAAUGUAUCGGAACGUGCCCAGUCGUUGGGGAUAACUGCUCGAAAGAGCAGCUAAUACCGCAUACGACCUGAGGGUGAAAGCGGGGGAUCGCAAGACCUCGCGCGAUUGGAUCGGCCGAUAUCAGAUUAGGUAGUUGGUGAGGUAAAGGCUCACCAAGCCGACGAUCUGUAGCUGGUCUGAGAGGACGACCAGCCACACUGGGACUGAGACACGGCCCAGACUCCUACGGGAGGCAGCAGUGGGGAAUUUUGGACAAUGGGCGCAAGCCUGAUCCAGCCAUGCCGCGUGCGGGAAGAAGGCCUUCGGGUUGUAAACCGCUUUUGGCAGGGAAGAAAAGGUUCUGGCUAAUACCUGGGACUCAUGACGGUACCUGAAGAAUAAGCACCGGCUAACUACGUG